AACGCACCUUGCGCUCCUUGGUAUUCCGAGGAGCAUGCCUGUUUGAGUGUCAUUAAAUUCUCAACCUCACCAGUUUUCUGAACUGUUCUCCGAGGCUUGGAUGUGGGGGUUUGUGCAGGCUGCCUCAGCGCGGUCUGCUCCCCUGAAAUGCAUUAGCGAGUUCGAUAUUGAGCUCCGUCUAUUGGUGUGAUAAUUAUCUACGCCGUGGAUCGGGGCUUAGACUCGCUUCUAACCGUCCGCAAGGACAAUACCUUGACAAUUUGACCUCAAAUCAGGUAGGACUACCCGCUGAACUUAA
rnacentral:misc_RNA from 1 species